UAUCUCAUGGUACCCUUUACCACCAUAUACGGAGGAAUGCCUUGGCUUUCUUGGCAAAAUCGCUUAAGAAUUGCUGUUGAAUCUGCUGAUGCCUUUAGUUAUCUCCACUAUGCAGCUUCUACACCUAUCCUACAUAGAGACAUCAAGUCAGCAAAUAUACUACUAGAUGACUACUACACAGCAAAGAUCGCUGAUUUUGGAGCUUCGAGGCUAAGACCUUUCGACCAGGCUGAUAUGAGUUCACUCAUACCAGGAACCUUGGGUUAUCUAGACCCUGAAGGCAUACAAAUGGGGUUGUCAGACAAGAGUGAUGUCUACAGUUUUGGUGUAGUUCUUGCUGAGUAUUAACGGGAAGAGAAGCUAUUGACCUCACUCUACCCAACAAAGAAAAGAGCUUAGCUGCAUAUUUCAAGGCUUCUGUGAAGGAGAAUCGCUUGUUUCCAAUUCUCCAUCAUAGGGUUUUGAAAGAAGGCUCAUUGGAGCAGCUUAAUGCCAUUGGUGAGCUUGUCAUUAGAUGUCUUAACACAAAUGGAGAAGAAAGACCUACUAUGAAAGAAGUGGCAACUGAAUUGGAAGGAUUUACUAAAUAUAAUAGCCGUGCAUGGGCUCAUCAUGAUCAAGAAAACGAUCAACUACAAAUGGGAGAAAUGAUCAGUGAACAAGAGGACCUUUAUAGUGUACUAAUGUAUACUUCCACCAAUUAUGAUACAUCAUCAAGUGAUCAACAAAACAAUGAAAUUAGCGCGAAACAUGAAGAAGACCCCCUCUUUGAUGACUAAUUAUUGAAAUUUCCAUAAAUUAGUGUAUUUGCAUGUUCAUUUGAUCAUUCAUUCAUGCUAAUAAAAAGCCAAAAAAUUUAAUAGGAUAUUUGUGUUUUUAUGUGAUCAACUUCCAUAAAUCAUUUAUUGCUUAAUUACUAUGAUAUAGAUAUACUAAUAGUCUCUACACGAGUAUUUACGUAUACGGCUAUACGCGGGGGUCAAAUUUUAAUUUUCUUAUCAUUGGCCCUAAUCGCUUUCUAAAUACCCAUUAACGAAAGCAAUGGCUUCUUGCCUCACAUUGUUCCUUCCUCUCAUUCCGCCUGGUGUCAAAGUACUGCUCCAGUGUCGUAAAACAGGAAAACUUUUCAAAAAGCAGAAUACAUCGACGCCCCCCACCCCCCCACCCCCCAAAACUAGCCAAAAAUUCUUAUUUAGAACACCUAAACUUGGGGUGCGAAAUUGAAUACUUUAAGGAGUUCAAAAUUAUUCCAAUUAAACCCCAUAAAAGAACCAGAAAGAAAUACAAAAUUUUUUAGCACUUUCGGAUGAGGUGGAAAAGGACAAAUUGAAAAAGAAAACAGCAAAAAAGAAAAAGAACUCCACCAACAUAGGAGUUCCCACACUCCUGAUCGAAGUCUUGAGAAGGAGUGGUGCAAAAUGCAAAGCAGUAGACAUAGAUGGCGAAGGAAAACUAUAGGUGAGAGGCUUGGAUCCUCCAAAAUGGGAACGCAAAGUGGUGCAUUUUGAGAAGAUUUUCACCGGUUGGAACUCAUGGUAAUGAUUUACCAGCAAUCGAAGAAGAAGGAUGGCCAAAAAAUCAUGGUUAACUUUAGAAAAGCGGAAACAAUGGCCGGAAAAAUUCGGGCAAAACUUCCAUAGUGUCCUGUAAAAGUCUUUGCUAUACACGCUCAAUCUAAAUUAGAAAAUGCACGCUCGGUCAUGUAAGCAUUAAGGGUUCAUUAGAACAGAUCUGACAACUUGAGAUGUUCCCCAACUACAGACAGGCGUCCAAAUGAAAAUUAUUGGAUAAUUCAUGGGUAGAGGCAACAAGUGUGAACGAUACAAGCUCCUGAUAACAUCAAUUAGUUGAUUAAUACAAAAUUAAAGAAUAAAGUAAAGGCUCCAGCCUACAGAAAAGACCUCACCGUUUAAGAAGUAACCACAAAAACGAAGGAACCCACUAUUUAAUUUUUUCUCUCUAAUGUACUAGGCUUUUCAUACCUAGGAGGAUGUGUGAUGAGACCUCUAUUUACUGUUGCUCCUACAAUCAUUUGACAUAUAUUUUAUAAUUUCACUACAACAAAACAGGCCAGCUGAACUAGUUUUCAAAGCAUAUAGCGGCGGUUCAAACCGCUACCUUAUGCACCGCCACAAACAGAUAUUAACUUACGGAAGGAAAGGAUUUGAACAAGAUCAAACAAGAAAAAUGAAUUCCGUAGAAAUUUCACAGAAGCAAAGGCUGAGAGUAAAGUAAAAAAGAAAUAUUUCAGAGAAAAUUAACCUGAUGGCCGACGGUCGUUGGGAGAUAAGGGAUUAGUCAGCAAUGCAACUUUUCCGCCGGUAACAAACGACAAAUGAAAAUCUGUUGAAGAGGGAAAAAAAAACAUAAGCAACUGAUGCAAUUUUAGAAAUCCCCAAUUUUUAAACCUAGGUCAAAAUCUUACUCGUCACAAAUUUUACGAAUUAUCUAUGAUUUGAGGCAUGAAAUUACCUUGAAUCAAUACAAAUAUUGGAGAAAGAAUCAUUCGAAUUCCCAAAUUCCUCAACUUUGAACCAAUGGGAGUUUCAGCUUCUGAUCGAUGAGAGUUCGUUUUCUUUGAGUUUCCCUCUUUCGAAUAAAAAUUUGAGUUUCCCUCCGUUUCUUCUUUUAUUUUGUUUCUUAAGUAAAUACUCAGUAAAAGAAAAUUAAAUUUUU
rnacentral:lncRNA from 1 species